rnacentral:rRNA from 1 species
GUCUACGACCAUGCUACCCUGAACAAGUCCGAUCCUGUCUGAUCUCAGAAGCUAAGCAGGGUUGGGCCUGGUUAGUACUUGGAUGGGAGACCAUCUAGGAAGACCAGGUGCUGUAGACA